UACGUAGGUGGCAAGCGUUGUCCGGAAUUAUUGGGCGUAAAGAGCUCGUAGGCGGUUUGUCGCGUCUGCUGUGAAAACUGGGGGCUCAACCCCCAGCCUGCAGUGGGUACGGGCAGACUAGAGUGCGGUAGGGGAGAUUGGAAUUCCUGGUGUAGCGGUGGAAUGCGCAGAUAUCAGGAGGAACACCGAUGGCGAAGGCAGAUCUCUGGGCCGUAACUGACGCUGAGGAGCGAAAGCAUGGGGAGCGAACAGG
rnacentral:rRNA from 1 species